AUAUUUACCUGGCAGGGGAGACAUCAUGAUUAUGAAGGUAGUUUUCCCAGGGCAAGGCUUGUCCAUUGCACUCUGGAUGUGCUGACCCCUGCAAUUUCCCCAAAUGUGGGAAACUCAACUGCAUAAUUUGUGGUAGUGGGGGACUGCAUUCACGCUUUCCCCUU
ensembl:snRNA U1 U1 spliceosomal RNA